GACGAACGCUGGCGGCGUGCUUAACACAUGCAAGUCGAACGAUGAACCCGGAGCUUGCUCCGGCGGAUUAGUGGCGAACGGGUGAGUAACACGUGAGUAACCUGCCCUUGACUCUGGGAUAACUGCUAGAAAUGGUAGCUAAUACCGGAUACGACCCUCGGUGGCAUCACCAGGGGGUGGAAAGAAUUUCGGUCAAGGAUGGACUCGCGGCCUAGCAGCUAGUUGGUGAGGUAACGGCUCACCAAGGCGACGACGGGUAGCCGGCCUGAGAGGGGGGCCGGCCCCACUACGCCUGAGACACGGCCACGACGCCGACGGGAGGCAGCAGUGGGGAAUAUUGCACAAUGGGCGCAAGCCUGAUGCAGCAACGCCGCGUGAGGGAUGACGGCCUUCGGGUUGUACACCUCUUUUAGUAGGGAAGAAGCGAAAGUGACGGUACCUGCAGAAAAAGCACCGGCUAACUACGUGCCAGCCGCCGCAGUAA
rnacentral:rRNA from 1 species